UUCAGGUGAAAGAUACCUGUGCUGUUGACAAUUCCGGGGCUCCACCAUUGAGCCUCUCAUUAAAACUAUUAGGAAGUAGCCACACGUAUUGGGUUUCAUUCCAUUUCUUUUUCAUUCCUUCUCCUAAUUUCUGAGAGUUGAGCUAGUGAGCAGAGAAGGAAUAGACAGUGCAGAGAAGACGGACAACUGACGGAUGACCCUGACAUACUCUAGAACAGCCUGAAGCCAAUGAUCCCCUUCUCUGCCGGUCCUGGAGCACACCCAUCAGUACCUCUCUGGCCCCCUCCCCAUCAGGCCCUGUGGAGUGUGGGGCACAGUCCUGAAGUGACUCUGGCUUUCUCCGCUGCGGUUCUAACAGGGUUAAAGUUGAGGUUUCUAAUCACUCCCAUGAGGUCUUAUUACCUGUUGAUUAGGUCCUUUUGGGAUCAGCAUCAAACCGACAACAAUAAUAAACACUCCCUUCAUUGGAACUCAGUAAUGACCCUGCCUGCCCUGCAGGCCUGGUGGCGAUGGGGAGGGGCCCUGGCCAUUAUGGGGCUGGAAACAGCAGCCCUUGGUAGGGGCGUUUGCCAGCAAUUUGGUGGCACAGCAAAGAGGUGCAGCUAACAAGCCGAUAGGCACCGGUUGGGGAUUUCUGGCUGGCCGGAGGCACCCCUGUUGUUCCAGCACAAGGCUCUUCGGAGAGGACCCUCCACAGCCAGCCUGAGGACUUGAGAGACAGAGCUGGGUGGUCUUUCCCCAGGACUAGAGGAAUUUCUAGAGAAUGAUCUGGUAACUGUUUCAUGUGUAUUUUUCCAAACUUUUUCCUGUGCACAUUCAAACGUGAGUGAGUGAAUGAGGAUGUGAACACAUGCGUGUGCAUAGGUUUCGUGUCUUUAUUACAAAAAUGCAAUCAUAGGAAACAUUUUGUUCUGUAAAUUGCUUUUUUUUUUUUUUCACCCAACAAUCUAUCUUGGACACUCUUCCAUGUCAUUCUGUUGAAGAGCUUCAUAUUAAUCCAGAUCAUAAACAAAGCCAAAUACAUUUUACCCACAUAAAUGUGAUUGAACAUUUUGACCAUCUCCACCCGUGUCUUGGUAUUACAAAUAAAGCUGCAGUGCUUGCUCUGGCAGCACACACACUAAAAUCAGAAUGGCAGAGAAG
rnacentral:lncRNA from 1 species